AGUUAAUCUGUGGCGACAUGCUGGAGGUACUAGACAAACACCUCAUUCCAGCAGCUACCACUGCCCCCAUUCACUGGGGAGAAUGGAAAGAAAACAACUGACAACAUCCUCAAAUGUAAACUCAAUUUGCCUCCCUACCUCACACAAGAAGCCAGAGAUCUGCUUAAAAAGGCUCAUCCAUUCUUUAGACACAUUAACUGGGAAGAACUUCUGGCUGGAAAGGUGGAGCCCCCA